rnacentral:rRNA from 1 species
AUUGAACGCUGGCUGCAUGCCUUACACAUGCAAGUCGAACUGCAGCACGGGUGCUUGCACCUGUUGUCGAUUGGCUUACGGGUGAGUAAUACAUCGGAACAUUUCCUGUAGUGGGGGAUAGCCCGGCGAAAGCCGGAUUAAUACCUCAUACGAUCUACGGUUUAAAGCGGGGGACCUUCGCUCCUCCCUCUUUAGGGUUUGCUUAUGGCUGAUUAGCUCGUUGUUGGGGUAAAGGCCUACCAAGGCGACGAUCAGUAGGUGUUCUUAGAUGACGACCAGCCAAACUGGGAAUGAGACGAGGACCAGAAACCAACGGGAGGCAGAAGUUGGGAAUGUUGGACAAUGGGCGAAAGCCUGAUAAAGCAAUGCCGCGUGGGUGAAGAAGGGAUUCGGGUUGUAAAGCACUUUUGUCCGGAAAGAAAGCGAUGGCUCUAAUACAGUCGGGGGAUGAAGGUACCGGAAGAAUAAGCAACGGCUAACUACGUG